CCAAUAGCGUAUAUUAAAGUUGUUGCAGUUAAAAAGCUCGUAGUUGAACUUCGGGGUUCACCCAUUGGUCAGGCUUAAUUGUCUGCACUGGUGAGAUGAAUCUCUACCUUCUGAGGAACUUUCAUGUCAUUAAUUUGGUGUGAUUGGAAAUCAGGACUGUUACUUUGAAAAAAUUAGAGUGUUUAAAGCAGGCUAACGUCUGAAUACAUUAGCAUGGAAUAAUGAAAUAGGACGGACUGAUUCUAUUUCGUUGGUUUCUAGGAUCACCGUAAUGAUUAAUAGGGAUAGUUGUGGGCAUUAGUAUUCAAUUGUCAGAGGGGAAAUUCUUGGAUUUAUUGAAGACUAACUACUGCGAAAGCAUUUGCCAAGGAUGUUUUCAUUAAUCAAGAACGAAAGUUAGGGGAUCGAAGACGAUCAGAUACCGUCGUAGUCUUAACCAUAAACUAUGCCGACUAGGGAUCGGACGAAGUUAAUUUUAUAAUGACGCGUUCGGCACCUUACG
rnacentral:misc_RNA from 1 species